rnacentral:rRNA from 1 species
CCUACGGGGGGCAGCAGUCGAGAAUCAUUCACAAUGGGGGAAACCCUGAUGGGGCGACGCCGCGUGGGGGAAUGAAGGUCUGCGGAUUGUAAACCCCUGUCAUGUGGGAGCAAAUUAAAAAGAUAGUACCACAAGAGGAAGAGACGGCUAACUCUGUGCCAGCAGCCGCGGUAAUACAGAGGGCUCAAGCGUUGUUCGGAAUCACUGGGCGUAAAGCGUGCGUAGGCUGUUUCGUAAGUCGUGUGUGAAAGGCGCGGGCUCAACCCGCGGACGGCACCUGAUACUGCGAGACUAGAGUAAUGGAGGGGGAACCGGAAUUCUCGGUGUAGCCGUGAAAUGCGUAGAUAUCGAGAGGAACACUCGUGGCGAAGGCGGGUUCCUGGACAUUAACUGACGCUGAGGCACGAAGGCCAGGGGAGCGAAAAGGAUUAGAUACCCGAGUAGUC